AGGAAAAGAAAUCAACUGAGAUUCCCCAAGUAGCGGCGAGCGAACGGGGAGCAGCCCAUUAAGUUAUGUGUGUUUUAGUGGAACGCUCUGGGAAGUGCGAACGUAGAGGGUGAUAUUCCCGUACACGAAAGGGCACACAUAAUGAUGACGAGUAGGGCGAGGCACGUGAAACCUUGUCUGAAUAUGGGGGGACCAUCCUCCAAGGCUAAAUACUACUGACUGACCGAUAGUGAACCAGUACCGUGAGGGAAAGGCGAAAAGAACCCCGGUGAGGGGAGUGAAAUAGAUCCUGAAACCGUAUGCGUACAAGCAGUGGGAGCCCACUUUGUUGGGUGACUGCGUACCUUUUGUAUAAUGGGUCAGCGAGUUAUUGUCAGUAGCAAGGUUAACCGUUUAGGGGAGCCGUAGGGAAACCGAGUCUUAAUAGGGCGUCUAGUUGCAGGGUAUAGACCCGAAACCGAGUGAUCUAUCCAUGAGCAGGUUGAAAGUGACGUAACAGUUACCGGAGGACCGAACCCACUG
rnacentral:rRNA from 14 species